UACGUAGGGUGCGAGCGUUUAAUCGGAAUUACUGGGCGUAAAGCGUGCGCAGGCGGUUCGUUGUGUCGGCGGUGAAAGCCCCGGGCUCAACCUGGGAAUGGCCGUUGAAACUGGCGAACUGGAGUGUGGCAGAGGGGGGUGGAUUCCGCGUGUAGCAGUGAAAUGCGUAGAGAUGCGGAGGAACACCGAUGGUGAAGGCAGCCCCCCUGGGCUGACAC
rnacentral:rRNA from 1 species